rnacentral:rRNA from 1 species
UACGAAGGGGGCUAGCGUUGCUCGGAAUCACUGGGCGUAAAGCGCACGUAGGCGGCUUUGUAAGUCAGAGGUGAAAGCCUGGAGCUCAACUCCAGAACUGCCUUUGAGACUGCAUCGCUUGAAUCCAGGAGAGGUGAGUGGAAUUCCGAGUGUAGAGGUGAAAUUCGUAGAUAUUCGGAAGGAACACCAGUGGCGAAGGCGGCGUCUGGCAUAUGACGCUGAGUGCGAAAAGCGUGGGGGAGCAAACAGG